GGCUGGAAUGAAUGGUUGGACAAAAAAUAAGCUGUCUCGGUUAUAAUAAUUGAACUUAACUUUUAAGUGAAAAGGCUUAAAUAAUUUAAGGGGACGAUAAGACCCUAUAAAGCUUUACGAUUUGUUUAUUAAAUCGAAAAUUGUAAGUUUAAGCUUGGUUUAAUAUACAUUUGUUUCGUUGGGGCGACGAGAAUAAAAUUUAGUAACUGUUCUUUUUUAGUGUAACAAGCAUAAUUGAAAAAAGAUUGAUCCCUUAUUAAGGAUUAAAAGUUUAAGUUACUUUAGGGAUAACAGCGUAAUCUUUUUUGAGAGUCCAUAUCGACAAAAAGGGUUGCGACCUCGAUGUUGAAUUAAGAGAUCCUUAUAGUGCAGUAGCUAUAAAGGAAGGUCUGUUCGACCUUUAAUUUCUUACAUGAUUUGAGUUCAGACCGGCGUAAGCCAG
rnacentral:rRNA from 1 species